CGCAGGGCAGCCUGCACCUCAGCGCCCUGAUUAAGCUGGUGAAGGAGAUCCCCGAGUUCCUCUUCGGGACCUCCAAGGCCCCCGCAGACCCAGCCGAGGCUGCCGGGAGCAGCGAUGCCGCGACGAGCACUGAGCAGGCUGGCGUAAAAACAGAGGAUCCCCCUGAGACCCCUCACCCCCCUGGCCUGGAGAGCGGGGCAAUGGACGUGGCUCUCAGCUGGCCCAGCCACCCGGAUACCCCCGCCAGCUCCGUGUCCACCAGCAGCGCAGAAGGCAACGAGCGGGGAUCUCCCCCGGGGAGCCUGUAUGCAGAUGUACCGAUGGAGAACAGCCCUCUCCAGGGUCUGCUGAACUGCCUGAAGGAGAUACCCACCCACCUCAGUGACAUGCAGGGAGACAGGGGACAGACGAGGC